rnacentral:rRNA from 1 species
UGUUCAUAACCCUUUGUUGUCCGACUCUGUUGCCUCCGGGGCGACCCUGCCUUCGGGCGGGGGCUCCGGGUGGACACUUCAAACUCUUGCGUAACUUUGCAGUCUGAGUAAACUUAAUUAAUAAAUUAAAACUUUUAACAACGGAUCUCUUGGUUCUGGCAUCGAUGAAGAACGCAGCGAAAUGCGAUAAGUAAUGUGAAUUGCAGAAUUCAGUGAAUCAUCGAAUCUUUGAACGCACAUUGCGCCCCCUGGUAUUCCGGGGGGCAUGCCUGUUCGAGCGUCAUUUCACCACUCAAGCCUCGCUUGGUAUUGGGCAACGCGGUCCGCCGCGUGCCUCAAAUCGACCGGCUGGGUCUUCUGUCCCCUAAGCGUUGUGGAAACUAUUCGCUAAAGGGUGUUCGGGAGGCUACGCCGUAAAACAACCCCAUUUCUAAGGUUGACCUCGGAUCAGGUAGGGAUACCCGCUGAACUUAAGCAUAUCAAUAAGCGGAGGAA